UUGUGUGCCUAAAUGGAUCCUAAAGGCACCAGAUUCCAUCUGAUCUUGGAAACUAAGCAGGCUCAGCCCUGGUUAGUACUAUGAUGUAAAUAACCAAUGAAGACCAGGUGCUGUAGGCU
rnacentral:rRNA from 1 species